AACUUUCAACAACGGAUCUCUUGGUUCCCGCAUCGAUGAAGAACGCAGCGAAACGCGAUAGUUAAUGUGAAUUGCAGAAUUCAGUGAAUCAUCGAGUCUUUGAACGCACAUUGCGCCCCUUGGUAUUCCGGGGGGCACGUCUGUUCGAGCGUC
rnacentral:rRNA from 1 species